ACCAUGUGUUAAAAUCCACUAAGAUAAAAACGCUAAUCCCUCUGUUGCCUUGAGCAAACACCACAGGACAUAUAUCUACAAGUUCCGUCGAUCGCCUUCUGGACCAAUGACUGGCUUCAUGUCUGGGAUGCUUGUCUACAUGUUCUAAUACCGGGCGAUAAACUUCCAACGUGUAGACUCCCUCAUCGUACUCUGUGAUAGAAAAGCCCCGCACUUGCAGGUGAUCUAGGCAUCUUCAGAUUCGCUGCUCGACAGUCAACGGGGCUGUCAUGUACAAUAGCCCCAGAGAGGAAAGGCGUGGUUUGGGUACAAAAGACGCCGAUAAAAAAGUUUACAAAGUGUGUUCAGCGGGAAUGCUCGUGGGAGGACUUGUGAUCAAUAUUUUCUGUACAGUGAUCACACACAGUUGGUAGCCGCUGGCUCGUCAGUCUCGACUUGUUAGUCCUGCAUAGUCUAACGAAGUGAAUGAAAGUGUGACCGGCGCCUGGACUGUAUUAAUAUUGGGUUGAGACCAGUUUUACAUCAUGGUCAACGCCAGUGACAGCAUCACGGAGCCUCCAUAUUACGACUUCGACCUGUCACAGCAGCUCUACCCCGUGGAAAGGCGUUAUGUCCCGCCCUGGGAGAUAGGGCUAAAAUGUGUGUUUUAUACAAUCAUAAUUGCGUUUUCACUCCUAGGCAACUUUUUGAUUGUCGUGAUUGUGUAUCGUCACAAACGCAUGAGGACUACGACGAACUUCUACAUUGUCAACUUGGCAAUUGCUGACCUGAUGGUGACGGUGUCGUGCACGUGGGUCUCUCUCGUCGAUGACGUUACCGAGGGAUGGGUACUCGGGGAGUACUUCUGUAAAUUCAACACUUUUGCUCAUGUUCUCUCCCUUGUUGCCAGUGUGCUGACCUUAACCUUGAUCGCCUACGACCGAUUCUUUGGAAUUGUGUUUGCCAUGAAGGCACAUAUGUCAGAGAGAAAAGCUAAAACCUCCAUAAUAGUUGUAUGGUUGUGUUCGGUGAUAGUGGGAUCUCCUUUGCUGUUUUUCCGAGUUUUAAAAAAACGUCAGUGGAAGGACCAUUUAGAACUCUGGUGUGACGAUGAGUGGCCGGUGGAGGAGAUUCUGGACCCAACCACGAAUACAACAAGGACUGAAAUGCCAUGGCGAACUGCUUAUUAUACGGGUGUCUCCGUUGUGCUGUUCUUUAUGCCUAUGUUGGUUAUGUCUGUGGCGUACUCCGUCAUCAUCUGGACACUCAAAACACAAACUGCCCCAGGGGAGAAUGUGCCACGUAACAACUCAGGCCAGAACAGAGCGAGGAAGAAGGUGAUCUUCAUGUUGAUUGUCAUCCUUGUGGUGUUCGCUGUGUGCUGGCUGCCCACCCAGGUGUACCUGCUCUACACAGAACAUCGCUCAGAGAGGCUCCCGAUGGGAGAAUGGUAUCCGAAGUUUGAAUUUGCAGCCAGGUAUCUUGCAUAUUGCAACAGCGCUCUUAACCCACUAAUUUAUGCUGGGUUUAAUGACAAUUUUAAACAAGGCUUAUGGAAAAUCCUCGGUAUGGCCACCCGGAAGCCUUCCUUCCUCUGUGGAGAGGGGAAGUCCUACGGCACCUACAGCAGCACUGGCUUGACGUCGGUCCAGCUUGUAACAGCGCCUGGUGCGGACAGUCCAGUGAAAGGAGGCAUGGCUGUGACAGCGGUAUAGAGCAGUGAUUCGGGGAUCAUGCCGUGUCUAAAACUGGUGUCCUGCUACACAGUUGAGAGUCAGUACAGUGAAAUAGUCAGUACAGUGAUCACGUUUUGACAAAAAUGAUUUAAAUCAAUCCAAAAAGAAUAACGUUACUACCAUGAUCCGGUACCCUCUACAUCAAAGCAUGUCUCGACAGUGUUAAUUAAUAGGUCUAUCGCUGGAAACACAUUUUCCGUUUUACCACUCGACUGGUCCAAAACGUGUUCAUCAUCACGAAGUGAUGCGAGGCCUUCUGUACGAAUCUACCAAAGAAACAGCUGAGUUACAUGUACAUCUGGAUACGAUGGAUUGGGGUUGGAUUGCUAACAAGCUAAUGAGCUGUUCCAAAUAAUUACUUUCACACAGGAUACUUACGUAGUGUUUACGAUUAGUAAACUCACAGGAAGCAUCAAAUGUCAGAUAUAGCAGUUUAAGUAGAGACAAAGACAGUUUCCGCUGCACUAUGACGAAUCUGAGGGUCAUCAGUUUCAUUAUCCACUGAAUUACAGUAAACCCUUGUUAAACUGGACGGCACCAUUCCCAGUGAAAUCGUCCACUGCGGAAUAGUGUUUAAUAGUAAAUAAUAAAAACAUGUAUUUGAAUCGUACAAUGUAUUCUGCUUUUCGUAGAUUUCCUAUGAUUAUGAUCAUGUUUUUAAGUGGGUUUCAUUGUAGUCUGUGCAUACAGAAGGCUUUGUUUUAACUACGGGGUCCCGACGUUUUGGGUUUCAAUGUACACUGUACAUACAAAAGGCCUUAUUUUAACCAACGAGGUCAAGACGAAUUGGAUUCAUUGUACACUGUACACGCGGAGGGCGUUGUUGUAACUAACGUGGUCCAGACUUGCGAGGUUUCAUUGUACACUUGUAUACAGUGCAUAUAUGUGUCACAUAACUGCGCGUGAAAAUCAACUGCAUCAAUGGAGCCAAUCCAUCAUUCCCUACCUUGAUGUGCGAACAGCUGACGUAUCGUAAUCUCCAGCACCUGGAUAUCAUAAUUCAAUGUGUAGUCAUGAAAUAUACUUGAACGAGAAGCCGAGGUAAUGAUCUGUCUGCCCCGCGAAACCUGCAGAAUUCAGUGCAUAAGUUGAUAGGAUUCCGAAAUAUUGUGUUACCACAACAUUAAUUUAUGUAUUUGUUCUUUAAAGCGUUCAAGCUGAAACAUAAAGUGUUAGGUAUGCUUCACAUUGAUGGGUUAGUGUCUACUAUCAUACGCGAGCUGGUAGAGUGUAAUGUUUUCGGCGAGCACCUUAAUGUGGCUUCGUUUGCACAGACUGUCCUUGAACAUAUUGAUAUUGUAAUCCUUAUAUGACCGGACGAUGGGCCUGUCAAUCAGCAUUACUCUCAGCAGCACGUUCUACAGGAUCGUGUGCUAACAGGAGUUUUCAUUUUUUAAUUGGGACUGUAUGUACAAACGGCGAAAGCCGAAGCCACAGGGUAAAUGCCAAGUAGGGUGGUCAGUUUGUACAUAGACUACUCGUUGUUCUCCUGUAGUAUCAUUAUCUGCAUAUUCCGUAGUGUGAGUUGGGCAUAUGGUAACAUGAUGAAGGCUUAAAUGUUAACAGGGAACGUGUAAUGGUUAUAGAUAUUGCACUCAUUGUUGGACUAGGUAUUAGUUUCGGGCCGCUGCUCAGUUUUAAUUUCAACAGUUCGAUUUACACUUAUAGGUCUAAAGCAAUACUUCUCUCCGUAAAUGUUGUUUCACGGAAAUUGGUAAUGAAUGUAUGUCAGUCAUUUCACGGCGUGUCAGCUUUAUGUGGAGGAAAGCUCGAAAUUAUGCAGGUCUAAGUAUACCACUUUCGGGAAAACCACGAGCACAGGUAUGGUGCUGACAAUCCUAGAAACAUAAUGAGGGCGGAUCUCGGAUUCGAACUCAUGGUCAUAGAUUUCUCACACGCCUUAGGCCCUUUAUGAUUUGGAUGUAGGAGUAAGUAUUUUACUUACUUUUUGCGGUGAGCUGUAGUACAAGUUAAAUUAACAUGUCGUUUGUGAUUAUGAAAGACUGCAUCUCAUAAUAAUAUUUCCAUAUCAACAUGUUUUCAAAAUGUUUAUUUUGUAUAUAAAGUACGCUAUUUUUCUACUUUAAAUGUACUUACAUGCGGAAAAUGCGCAGCGAAACCACCGAUCGCUAUCUAAGUAUAUAAACAACGUUUAAGUUCGUAUUCGUCUCUUUUUUCCAAAUAUGUUCCUAUCUAUACCAUGUUAUUGACCCUCGAUUGUACAGGAAAAUUGAAGUAGUUAAUUCUUUUCAACCCCGUGUUCAGUUAGUCUACUUUAUAUUUGUUUAUGUGUUUGGUGUUUAACGCCGCACUCAGCAAUAUUCCAGCUAUAUGACGGCGGUCUGUAAAUAAUCGAAUCUGUACCAGACAAUCCGGUGGUUGAUAUCAUGAGCACCGA
rnacentral:misc_RNA from 1 species